GCGGGCGUGGUUUAGUGGUAAAAUGACUGCCUUCCAAGCAGUAGUCGCGAGUUCGAUUCUCGCCGCCCGCA
rnacentral:tRNA from 1 species